CCUACGGGGGGCAGCAGUGGGGAAUAUUGCGCAAUGGGGGAAACCCUGACGCAGCAACGCCGCGUGCGGGAUGAAGGCUUUCGGGUUGUAAACCGCUUUCAGCAGGGAAGAUAGUGACGGUACCUGCAGAAGAAGCCCCGGCUAAAUACGUGCCAGCAGCCGCGGUAAUACGUAUGGGGCGAGCGUUAUCCGGAUUCAUUGGGCGUAAAGCGCGCGCAGGCGGGCUGCUAAGCGGGACCUCUAAUCUCGGGGCUCAACCCCGAGCCGGGUUCCGAACUGGCAGCCUCGGGUUCGGUAGGGGUAGG
rnacentral:rRNA from 1 species